AACGAACGCUGGCGGCAUGCCUAACACAUGCAAGUCGAACGAUUGCCUUCGGGUGAUAGUGGCGCACGGGUGCGUAACGCGUGGGAAUCUGCCCUUAGGUUCGGAAUAACAGCUGGAAACGGCUGCUAAUACCGGAUGAUAUCGCGAGAUCAAGGAUUUAUCGCCUGAGGAUGAGCCCGCGUUGGAUUAGGUAGUUGGUGGGGUAAAGGCCUACCAAGCCGACGAUCCAUAGCUGGUCUGAGAGGAUGAUCAGCCACACUGGGACUGAGACACGGCCCAGACUCCUACGGGAGGCAGCAGUGGGGAAUAUUGGACAAUGGGCGCAAGCCUGAUCCAGCAAUGCCGCGUGAGUGAUGAAGGCCCUAGGGUUGUAAAGCUCUUUUACCCGGGAAGAUAAUGACUGUACCGGGAGAAUAAGCCCCGGCUAACUCCGUG
rnacentral:rRNA from 1 species